AGUGUCUCAUAAGAAAUGAAAGAUUUUUAUCUGGGAUAAUUGAGGUAUAAUAUUUCACAAUUUGAAUUAAAAAGUUUUAUCACUUAUAGUUUGGAUACUAAUGUUGUUAUUUAUAAGAUUAUUUCAAAAGGAAUCCUAUUGGGAUCCUUCCAUUGAUAGUGAAGUGAAGAUACAAUGGUGUAGGAAGGCAAUGAGAAGUUGCCCAGGGGACUCACACGGGAGGCUCUAUUACCAUUGGAGAGCAUCACAAGAGACUUGAAAAAUAUCAAGAGAUAUUACACAACCAAAUACAAACUCAAUCUGAUUUUGAUCAAUGGAAAGCAUAUUAUCAAGUCGUGGGAGGAAAAAAGAAAAGAAGGAUAUAUGUUCUUGAAUCUCAAAUAAAAGUAUUUAUUAGUAAAAUUAUUGUGUAUCUUUUGGAUCUGAUGAUUUAGACUAAGUACCAUCUCCGAGUGCUCAAACAACACCACCGACGGAAAAUAUGGAUGAGUUAGUGAUGCGAUUGAUUCCUUCACUGACUAAUCACAUGUUUUCUGUAUUUGUUGAACAUGUACGUGGAUUGAUUUCUCUGACCUCAUCUCA